rnacentral:rRNA from 1 species
AUUGAACGCUGGCGGCAGGCCUAACACAUGCAAGUCGAGCGGUAGAGAGAAGCUUGCUUCUCUUGAGAGCGGCGGACGGGUGAGUAAUGCCUAGGAAUCUGCCUGGUAGUGGGGGAUAACGUUCGGAAACGGACGCUAAUACCGCAUACGUCCUACGGGAGAAAGCAGGGGACCUUCGGGCCUUGCGCUAUCAGAUGAGCCUAGGUCGGAUUAGCUAGUUGGUGGGGUAAUGGCUCACCAAGGCGACGAUCCGUAACUGGUCUGAGAGGAUGAUCAGUCACACUGGAACUGAGGCACGGUCCAGACUCCUACGGGAGGCAGCAGUGGGGAAUAUUGGACAAUGGGCGAAAGCCUGAUCCAGCCAUGCCGCGUGUGUGAAGAAGGUCUUCGGAUUGUAAAGCACUUUAAGUUGGGAGGAAGGGCAGUAAAUUAAUACUUUGCUGUUUUGACGUUACCGACAGAAUAAGCACCGGCUAACACUGUGCCAGCCGCCGCCGUAA